UACGUAGGGACCGAGCGUUGUCCGGAAUCAUUGGGCGUAAAGAGCGUGUAGGCGGCCACUUAAGUCCUGCGUGAAAUCUUGCGGCUCAACCGCAAGCGGUCGUGGGAAACUGGGUGGCUAGAGUCCGGGAGAGGUGAGUGGAAUUCCUAGUGUAGAGGUGAAAUUCGUAGAUAUUAGGAAGAACACCAGUGGCGAAGGCGGCUCACUGGCCCGGUACUGACGCUGAGGCGCGAAAGCGUGGGGAGCAAACAGG
rnacentral:rRNA from 1 species